AUUGAACGCUGGCGGCAUGCCUUACACAUGCAAGUCGAACGGUAACGCGGGGCAACCUGGCGACGAGUGGCGAACGGGUGAGUAAUAUAUCGGAACGUGCCCAAUAGUGGGGGAUAGCCCGGCGAAAGCCGGAUUAAUACCGCAUACGACCUGAGGGUGAAAGCGGGGGAGUCGCAAGACCUCGCGCUAUUGGAGCGGCCGAUAUCAGAUUAGGUAGUUGGUGGGGUAAAGGCCUACCAAGCCUGCGAUCUGUAGCUGGUCUGAGAGGAUGACCCGCUCGAGUGGGACUGAGACACGGCCCACACACCUACGGGUGGCAGCAGUUGGGAAUCUUGCACAAUGGGGGAAACCCUGAUGCAGCGACGCCGCGUGGAGGAUGAAGGAUCUAGGUCUGUAAACUCCUUUUAUCAGGAAAGACUUAGGACGGUACCUGAUGAAUAAGCCCCGGCUAACUACGUG
rnacentral:rRNA from 1 species